rnacentral:rRNA from 3 species
GAUUGAACGCUGGCGGCAGGCCUAACACAUGCAAGUCGAGCGGUAGAGAGAAGCUUGCUUCUCUUGAGAGCGGCGGACGGGUGAGUAAUGCCUAGGAAUCUGCCUGGUAGUGGGGGAUAACGUUCGGAAACGGACGCUAAUACCGCAUACGUCCUACGGGAGAAAGCAGGGGACCUUCGGGCCUUGCGCUAUCAGAUGAGCCUAGGUCGGAUUAGCUAGUUGGUGAGGUAAUGGCUCACCAAGGCGACGAUCCGUAACUGGUCUGAGAGGAUGAUCAGUCACACUGGAACUGAGACACGGUCCAGACUCCUACGGGAGGCAGCAGUGGGGAAUAUUGGACAAUGGGCGAAAGCCUGAUCCAGCCAUGCCGCGUGUGUGAAGAAGGUCUUCGGAUUGUAAAGCACUUUAAGUUGGGAGGAAGGGCAGUUACCUAAUACGUGAUUGUUUUGACGUUACCGACAGAAUAAGCACCGGCUAACUCU